CCUGAGAGGGUGUCCGGCCACACUGGGACUGAGAUACGGCCCAGACUCCUACGGGAGGCANCNGUGNGGAAUAUUGCNCNAUGGGCGCAAGCCUGANGCAGCGACGCCGCGUGAGGGAUGACGGCCUUNGGGUUGUAAACCUCUUUCAGUAUCGACGAAGCGCAAGUGACGGUAGGNNCAGAAGAAGGACCGGCCNNNUACGUGCCAGCAGCCGCGGUAAUACGUAGGGUCCGANCGUUGUCCGGAAUUACUGGGCGUAAAGAGCUCGUAGGUGGUUUGUCGCGUUGUUCGUGAAAACUCACAACUCAAUUGUGGGCGUGCGGGCGAUACGGGCAGACUGGAGUACUGCAGGGGAGACUGGAAUUCCUGGUGUAGCGGUGGAAUGCGCAGAUAUCAGGAGGAACACCGGUGGCGAAGGCGGGUCUCUGGGCAGUAACUGACGCUGAGGAGCGAAAGCGUGGGGAGCGAACAGGAUUAGAUACCCUGGUAGUCCACGCCGUAAACGGUGGGUACUAGGUGUGGGUUUCCUUCCUUGGGAUCCGUGCCGUAGCUAACGCAUUAAGUACCCCGCNNGGGGAGUNCGGCCGCAAGGCUAAAACU
rnacentral:rRNA from 1 species